rnacentral:rRNA from 1 species
UACGUAGGGUGCAAGCGUUGUCCGGAAUUAUUGGGCGUAAAGAGCUUGUAGGCGGUCUGUCGCGUCUGCUGUGAAAAUCCGGGGCUCAACCCCGGACUUGCAGUGGGUACGGGCAGACUAGAGUGAUGUAGGGGAGACUGGAAUUCCUGGUGUAGCGGUGAAAUGCGCAGAUAUCAGGAGGAACACCGAUGGCGAAGGCAGGUCUCUGGGCAUUAACUGACGCUGAGGAGCGAAAGCAUGGGGAGCGAACAGG